UUAGAGAAAAUUGCAACUUUUGGCCCAAAGGUUUGAAUAAUUAAAUUCAAACCUAUAGUUUUUUUUAAUAUAAUUUUGGGACUCACAAUCCCAUUUUUAUAUUAUUUUUCUCUCUUCCUCUCAUGUUGCUCGACGUUUUCUCACAAGGGGGGAUUAUUUUCUUUUCCUUCAGAUUAUAUUGACAAAGAUAGUGGUGAAAAAGGAGUUGUGAAGGGGAACUUGUUAUUCAAGACACAAGGAGCGAGUCUGGCCGAGAAAGCACCAGAGGUGUAACUGUGGUGUAUGAGACACCAUCUUUUACGUUGCCUCUUAUUUUAGAUUAUACAAUGUAUCUUGUGCCAACUUAGGACAUAUCUUCUUUGUGAAGCAUGUAAACUCUAAUCCUUUUUAUUAAAAGUAUUUAUAUGACCAAGAGGAUUAUGUCUGUCCCUCUUGAUUCAUGACCUGAUUUGAAUAACAUGCUAUGAGGAUCCUGUCUGUCCCUCAUGGUUCUAAUUGCUUUUUGAGAUAUUUUAAGACCUGUGGUAUAUUGUCUUGGAUGUAUCAUGGUAAGAAAAUUUUCUACCAUGAUAAUGGUUUUAAUAAUUUGCGAAAAAUCGGUCUGUAAUUUUGAGGGUGUUACACUUUGCAACUCCUAGGCAUGUUUGUGUUAUUCUUGGUUUUUAAAGCUGUUAGUAGAUGGGUGUCACUCAAUUGGCGUGGGCUAUGUUACUGCAUGUGAUAGUUUGUGUUAGGGAUGUUGCCAUGCUCAAUCUUGUCGCUGGAUUGGUUCUUAUUUGUUUAUAAACCACUUAUUGGUUUCUUGUAGCUUACAUUUACUGCAAAUGUUUAGAGUUUCUAGCUUUUUGAUUGAGUCCUUGGUUUUGACUGUGUUAGUCCUUGUUUCUCGUGAACCCCUUUAUUUGUUUCACAUGUUGGGUGUUGUUUCAUACUUUUAAUCGAUUUGUUGUUUCAUUGUGUUACUAAUAUAUUAUGAUUACAGGGAAGCUCCUGAUUAAUACGAUGGACCAACGAUGCUCACUUUGCGACGAGUCUCAAGAGAGCAUAAAUUAUGUUUUUAAAGAUUGUACGCUCGCUGCUGUAGUAUGGAGAAGAAUCUUACCAAUUGAUAUGCAAAUUGAUUUUUAUGGCAAAAGUCUGGAUACCUGGCUGGCUGAUAUUUUAAAGAACCCUCACAUAGAUUAUUCUUGGAAGAUUGGUGUUAGCAUCUUUUGCCGGAAAUUAUGGGAUGCUAGAAACUGAAGCAUAUUUACUAAUGACACAUUUACAAUAGAUAGCAUUUUAUCUCAACUUAGAGCCAUAGUUGAUCACACUGUUAGGAUUUACAACACCUUAAGAAUUCUGAUGUAAUUGUUUUAUGUUCGUUUUUGUAUUCUGUAUAGUUUUCCUAAUGAAAAAUAUAUUAUGAUUACUUGA